rnacentral:rRNA from 1 species
GUAAGGACGCGUAGGCGGGAUGCCAAGUCUGAUGUGAAAUCCUAUGGCUUAACCAUAGAACUGCAUUGGAAACUGGUAACCUAGAGUAUGGGAGGGGGAGAUGGAAUUAGUGGUGUAGGGGUAAAAUCCGUAGAUAUCACUAGGAAUACCGAAAGCGAAGGCGAUCUCCUGGAACAAUACUGACGCUAAGGCGUGAAAGCGUGGGGAGCAAACGGGAUUAGAUACCCCGGUAGUCCAUGCCCUAAACGAUGAACACUAGUCGUCGGAAUGCUAGUCAUUUCGGUGAUGCACUUAACAGAUUAAGUGUUCCGCCUGGGGAGUACGGUCGCAAGAUUAAAACUCAAAGGAAUAGACGGGGACCCGCACAAGUGGUGGAGCAUGUGGUUUAAUUCGAAGAUACGCGAAGAACCUUACCUAGCCUUGACAUUGAUUGAACACUUUAGAGAUAGAGUGGUGCCCUUCGGGGAGCAUGAAAACAGGUGCUGCACGGCUGUCGUCAGCUCGUGUCGUGAGAUGUUGGGUUAAGUCCCGCAACGAGCGCAACCCUCGUCCUUAGUUGCCAGCAGGUUAAGCUGGGUACUCUAAGGAGACUGCCUUCGCAAGGAGGAGGAAGGUGAGGACGACGUCAAGUCAUCAUGGCCCUUAUGGCUAGGGCUACACACGUGCUACAAUGGGGCGUACAGAGUGUUGCGAUACCGCGAGGUGGAGCUAAUCACUUAAAGCGUCUCUCAGUUCGGAUUGGAGUCUGCAACUCGACUCCAUGAAGCUGGAAUCACUAGUAAUCGUAGAUCAGCAAUGCUACGGUGAAUACGUU